rnacentral:lncRNA from 1 species
GAUAGGGGUUGUAUCUUUCGCAUGUAUAAUAGCUGCUUCGAAAUCUAUCAAACUCUUUAUGGAUAGGGGUUGUAUCUUUCGCAUGUAUAAUAGCUGCUUCGAGAUCUAUCAAACUCUUUAUGGAUAGGGGUUGUAUCUUUCGCAUGUAUAAUGACUGCUUCGAGAUUUAUGCAGACGAAUGAAUAAAGUUCGAAAUGCUUUGAGAUAUAUGCAAAUAAUCUACAUCAAAAAAAAAUGCCGAUCAUUCUUUCGCAUAAAAGAGACAAUCCGAACCCUUGCUUUAUCCCAUGAUGGAAGCAUAACUAACCAGCCAUGACAC